UACGAAGGGGGCUAGCGUUGUUCGGAAUUACUGGGCGUAAAGCGCGCGUAGGCGGCGAUCCAUGUCAGGGGUGAAAUCCCGGGGCUCAACUCCGGAAUUGCCUUUGAAACGGGAUUGCUAGAGUCCGAGAGAGGAUGGCGGAAUUCCUAGUGUAGAGGUGAAAUUCGUAGAUAUUAGGAACGAACACCGGUGGCGAAGGCGGCCAUCUGGCUCGGUACUGACGCUCAGGCGCGAAAGCGUGGGGAGCAAACAGGG
rnacentral:rRNA from 1 species